AGCAGCCGCGGUAAUUCCAGCUCCAAUAGCGUAUAUUAAAGUUGUUGCAGUUAAAAAGCUCGUAGUUGAAUUUCGGGGUUCUACCGUUGGUCGGGCAAUAGUCUGUACUGGCGUGUAGAAUUUCUACCUUCUGGGGAACUAUCAUGUUAUUUAUUUAGCGUGGUAGGAAACCAGGACCUUUACCUUGAAAAAAUUAGAGUGUUCAAAGCAGGCUUACGUCUGAAUACAUUAGCAUGGAAUAAUAAAAUAGGGCGGUGGUCCUGUUUUGUUGGUUUCUGAAUCACCGUAAUGAUUAAUAGGGAUAGUUGGGGGCAUUAGUAUUCAAUUGUCAGAGGUGAAAUUCUUGGAUUUAUUGAAGACUAACUUCUGCGAAAGCAUUUGCCAAGUAUGUUUUCAUUAAUCAAGAACCGAAAGUUAGGGGAUCGAAGACGAUCAGAUACCGUCGUAGUCUUAACCAUAAACUAUGCCGACUAGGGAUCGGACGAUGUUAAUUUUUUUGACUCG
rnacentral:rRNA from 1 species